GAAAACGAGAGGAGAAAAAGGCGGGGCCUGGAAGAGCCAAUAAAGGGCUGGGGAGGGGCCUGAAGGAACCAAUGAGAGGCAAGGAAUGAGGAAGGGGCGGGGCGAAAAAGAGGCGAGGACAAAACCAGCGGGAGGGGCGGGGCUUGUAAAGGACACGCGGCAGGAAGCGGCGGUGACGUCACCAAGUAGACCCAGCCGACGUUGCUAUGACGUCAGGGGCCACAAGCAGUUACGUCAUAUGCCCCAGUCACACCCCCCCCCAGCCCCAAUGACGACAUAAGGCUGAUUGGGACUCUGCAGUUUAUUGAUCACUGAGGGUCCCUAUCGCGAUAGGGGGGUCCCGUCGUGAUAAUGGGGAUUCACAGCAAUCCAAUGCCCCCUCAUGGGCCUGGGUCCUUGGCACAGGAGCCCUGUCACGAUACAGGAGCACUGUCACAAUAUGGGGGUCCCGUCUCGAUCCUCCUCUUCAGAGCAAUCUAGGGUCCUGUCAGGAUACAAAGCCCUUGCAGAAUGUGGGUUCUUAUCACGAUAAACAAUCCCUGUUGUGAUAUGGGGCACCCCCUGUCCUGGUACUGUGGGGCUCUGGGAAAAUGAGGAGCAGGGGGUCCCUGUCGCAAUAAGGAGUCCCUGUCACGAUAUGAGGGGCCCUGUUACAAAGAGGUGUCCCUGUCAUGACUUGGGAUCACCCCCCCCCUUUACCAUGGGUCACCCAAAGCCAUGUGAAUAAAUUGAGGGGGGUUUCCCAUCAUGAUAAUGGCUCCUUAUCGCAAUAUGGGGGCUCCUGUCGUGAUAUGAGGGGGUCUCUGUCGCGAUAGGGCCCCAGGCCAGCAGCAGUGGCGCCGCGGGGGGUCGAACCCCGCCCCGGGGGGUCCCGGGGGUGCCACCACCGGCGCCUUUUGCUUUUUUUUCGGCCUUUUUGGGUCCAGAGGAGAAAAAGCAAAACCUGAGAAAACCAAGGAAAAGUUUUCUCAGGAAAAGAAAAAACCUCCCGAAACGGGAAAAAUAAAACACAAAAAAAACCUCCCCAAAACAAGUCUGGCCCCACCCCACGCGAUUUGGGGCAAAAUGUGGGGAAUUUGGGGCCAGAGCACACCCAAAAAUGGGUGGUUUGGGGGGUUUGGGGCCCAGCAGGUGCCCCCGGCGCAAUUUGGGCGGAGAAAUGGGGAUUUUGGGUUGGAGUCACGGCCCAGACGCAAAACAGACUCAGAAACGGGGAUUUGGGGUCACAGGCGCGUCCCGGUCGCAAAAUCGGGCCAGAAAUGGGAAAUUAGGGCGCAAAAUGGGCUCAGAAACGGGGAUUUGGGGCCGAUCGCGCACCCCCGGCGCAGAAUUAGCUCCGGAACGGGGAUUUUGGGGUUAAUCACGCGCCCCCUCGCAUCCUGGGCCGAGAACGGGGGAUUUUGGGGUCGGCGCGUCCCGGGGCCCCGCCGGUACUUACUCUGCUGGCUCACCUUUUCCUGCCUCUUUAUUUUGGGGGGAAUUUCUAGUUUUUAA
rnacentral:lncRNA from 1 species